AAAUAGAUACCCCGGUAGUCCACGCUGUAAACGAUGAAGACUAGUUUUUGGGCUUAAGCUCGGAAGCGUAGCUAACGCGAUAAGUCUUCCGCCUGGGGAGUACGGCCGCAAGGUUGAAACUCAAAUGAAUUGACGGGGGCCCGCACAAGCGGUGGAGUAUGUGGUUUAAUUCGAUGCAACACGAAGAACCUUACCUACUCUUGACAUCUAGCGAAUCUUUGGAGACAAAGAGUGCCAUAGCAAUAUGGAGCGCUAAGACAGGUGCUGCAUGGCUGUCGUCAGCUCGUGUUGUGAAAUGUUGGGUUAAGUCCUGUAACGAGCGCAACCCCUGUCCUCUGUUGCUAACAGAUAAUGCUGAGUUCUUGGAGGAGACUUCCGAUGAUGAAUCGGAGGAAGAUGGGGAUGACGUCAAGUCAUCAUGGCCCUUACGAGUAGGGCUACACACGUACUACAAUGGUUGGCACAAAGGGUACCAAGUCGCGAGACGGAGUUAAUCUCAUAAAACCAAUCUCAGUCCGGA
rnacentral:rRNA from 1 species